rnacentral:rRNA from 1 species
AUUGAACGCUGGCGGCAGGCUUAACACAUGCAAGUCGAGCGAGCGGCGGACGGGUGAGUAAUGUCUGGGAAACUGCCUGAUGGAGGGGGAUAACUACUGGAAACGGUAGCUAAUACCGCAUACCAUCAGAUGUGCCCAGAUGGGUUUAGCUAGUAGGUGGGGUAAUGGCUCACCUAGGCGCCGAUCCCUAGCGGGUCUGAGAGGAUGACCGGCCAACCUGGAACUGAGACACGGUCCUGACCCGUACGGGAGGCAGCAGUGGGGAAGAUUGGACAAUGGGCGCAAGCCUGAUGGAGCAAUGCCGCGUGUGUGAAGAAGGCCUUCGGGUUGUAAAGCCCUUUCAGCGGGGAGGCGUUACUCGCAGAAGAAGCACCGGCUAACUCCGUGCCAGCAGCCGCGGUAAUUC